CCUUUGCAAUGGAGUUAGGGUCUGAAAAACUCAGAAAUUGGUUGUGUUGUCAUCAGCUUCGUCUCCCAUAACCUACGAGAUUGGAGUUAAAUAACAGCACUAAAUUU